rnacentral:rRNA from 1 species
CAGCCGCCGCGGUAAUACGGAGGAUCCAAGCGUUAUCCGGAAUCAUUGGGUUUAAAGGGUCCGUAGGCGGUCUUGUAAGUCAGUGGUGAAAGCCCAUCGCUCAACGGUGGAACGGCCAUUGAUACUGCAGGACUUGAAUUAUUGGGAAGUAACUAGAAUAUGUAGUGUAGCGGUGAAAUGCUUAGAGAUUACAUGGAAUACCAAUUGCGAAGGCAGGUUACUACCAAUUGAUUGACGCUGAUGGACGAAAGCGUGGGUAGCGAACAGGAUUAGAGACCCCUGUAGUCCCUGUCUCUUAUAC